rnacentral:rRNA from 1 species
UACGUAGGGGGCAAGCGUUGUCCGGAUUUAUUGGGCGUAAAGAGCUCGUAGGUGGUUCGGUAAGUCGGAUGUGAAAUCUCCAGGCUCAACCUGGAGGGGUCAUUCGAUACUGCCGUGACUAGAGGUCGGUAGGGGAGUGUGGAAUUCCUGGUGGAGCGGUGAAAUGCGCAGAUAUCAGGAGGAACACCCGUAGCGAAGGCGGCACUCUGGGCCGAUACUGACACUGAGGAGCGAAAAGCGUGGGGGAGCGAACAGG